GUCUGCGGCUGCUGAGGGCGGGGCUAGGGGCGGGGCCGAGGAAGAGGCUGCGCCAGUUCCUAGUGCCUCUGCAUCCGAGGCUACUUAAGGGCGGAGCUGUGGGCGGGCCCUCCGUGACGCAGCCCCGCCUACCUCGUCGAGAUGCGCGGCCUCGCCGCGGAACGCGCGCACUGCCCCCCAUCAUCCCGAGCGAGCGCCUUUUGCGCGCGGCCCCAGGGUGGGGCCGCUGCGGUGGCUGCUUCCUGGCGACCUUCGCCCUGAGGACUCCGGGGACUUGGGUCUCCGAAGUGCGGCCCACGCCUGGCUGUGGACGUCUCCUGGAGGUUUAUUUUGUAACAGUGGAGGGUAAUUGAGUUAGUUCAUUUGGACGCCUCCAUAGUCACUGUUUGCAAAGAAUGGUGCCUUUAUAUUUUCUUGCAAACGUUGGUGAUUACUUAAAAGAAAAAUCUAAAUGUGUUUGACAGACAGAAAACCUCAAGUUUAGCUCAGUUCUCCAGUGGUGCUACACAUGAAUUCAUAUCUUGCUAUUUCCUUUCUACACGAAUCAUCAUAGUGUUUAAUGAUACGCGUUUCGUUUAAAUGAAGCUGGAGGUACUGAGGUUUAUGAGUUUGUUGCUUUUUCUUUUGGCAAUGGAAAAUAUCUUAAGUUUCCUGAACUCUAAAAAUGUGCAGAGUGGAUUUCUAAGUAGGUAAAAAGCCCUUCUGCUAGUUAAGGACAGUUACCAUGCACUCGAACAGGUGAAAAUGAAAGGUAAUUGGCCCCCAUGGUGAUAUUGCAAAGGAAAAGGUUCUCGGGGAGAACCGUGGAUAUGAUUUGGGACCUUUAGGACGUCAAAACAGGAAGAUGGUGGUAAACAGCAGGGAAAACAACUUCUCUGAGAGUCACUGUCCAGACACUGGAAUAUAGCAACGUGAGGAAGACAAGAAGGAAGGAAGUGGUCCCCAGACCAAGAAAGAAUCUGAAGUGAGAACUGAAGUCCAUGGAGAGACUGAAAAGAAAACCUCAACAAAGGAGAAGGUGGUAGCUGGCGGUACCUUCUCCCUGAGACAGGACUCACUGUGAAAGAGGAGCUGUUCGAACCUAGGGAUGCAUGGUCACGAUGACGGUGACAGCUGGCAACCCUGGAGGCAUCUGCAGAGAGAUACUGCAGUAGAGGGGAGCAGCGAAUAUGGAGCACCACUGCACUGGCUGGCAGUGGGUGCAGAGGACUCAGUUCUCCUGCAGGAGAGACUGAUUACCAGGGAGCCAUCAUGGAGCUGGGUUGGCUGAGCUCAGAACUCUGAACUGCUGCCGGCUUGCUGGGUAGGUGUUCUGCUGCUGAGCUAAAUCCCUGGGCCUCAUCUAGUAUCUCCCAGCUGGGCUCAUACUUGAGGAAACUGUUUGGACUGCAGCAAGCCCAGUGAGUUUGGUUUCCAAGCAAGACUGCUGAGAGUACCCACCACUCUGCCAUCAAGCAACUGCUGGCUUGCUGGGAUGCAACGGCAUGAUUCAGGACUUGUCUCCACAGGCCAUCUACUAGUGAAACCAGAGAGAAUACUGGAAGUGGACUGUUUGGAGGAUUUUGUUGUUUGUUUAUUUUUUUAAAAAUAUUUUUCUGUUUCUUUUUCUCUCUCCUUAGUUGUUUUUAUAUGAGUGUGAAAGUGAUUCCUAACCUCUUUGAGCGUAUGGCUCUGUUCUAUUCUUUCUUUUAUCUUCUCCAUCUCUCUUUUCCUUCAGUCUUCUGCACCAGUUUCCCCAAGUUGGCAUGAUUUUGCCAACAUUCUAAUCUCCUCCUCUUCUACUUCUCUAUUUUCUCCUUAAUCCAUUUUAAAGUUUAACCCCUAAGCGCAAAAUUGACACAUUAAGCACUUAUUUAUUGCAUAUAAUUAUCUAGUCUCUUUUACAUUUUGCUAUGUAAUCACAAAUCUAGUUCAUAUGAUUAAAAGUUGCAAAUUAAGGGUUACCUCA